GGCGGUGCCGUGCGGCUCUCAGCGUAGUAAUUCUUCUCGCUACAGGGUCCGGACGGUGCUAGCCAGCAACCCCAACUUCUUAAGGUUGACCUCGGAUCAGGUAGGGAUACCCGCUGAACUUAAGCAUAUCAAUAAGCGGAGGAAAAGAAAACCAAC
rnacentral:rRNA from 1 species